GCCGAGGUAGCUCAGUUGGUAGAGCACCUGACUGAAAAUUAGGGGGUCCCCAGUUCAAGUCUGGGCCUCGGCACCA
rnacentral:tRNA from 1 species